rnacentral:misc_RNA from 1 species
GUAACAAGGUUUCCGUAGGUGAACCUGCGGAAGGAUCAUUAACGAAUAACUAUGGUGUCUCAGGUUGUAGCUGGCUCCUCGGAGCAAUGUGCACGCCCGCCAUUUUUAUCUUUCCACCUGUGCACCGACUGUAGGUCUGGAUACCUCUCGCCGCAAGGCGGAUGCGAGGGUUGCUCGUGAAGGGCUCCCCUCGAACUUCCAGGCUCUACGUCUUUUUACACACCCCAAUAGUAUGAUGCAGAAUGUAGUCAAUGGGCUUCACAGCCUAUAAAACACUAUACAACUUUCAGCAACGGAUCUCUUGGCUCUCGCAUCGAUGAAGAACGCAGCGAAAUGCGAUAAGUAAUGUGAAUUGCAGAAUUCAGUGAAUCAUCGAAUCUUUGAACGCACCUUGCGCUCCUUGGUAUUCCGAGGAGCAUGCCUGUUUGAGUGUCAUUAAAUUCUCAACCUCACCCGUUUUCUGAACGGGGUCGAGGCUUGGAUGUGGGGGUUUGUGCAGGCUGCCUUCACUGGCGGUCUGCUCCCCUGAAAUGCAUUAGCGAGGUUCAUGCUGAACUUCCGUCUAUUGGUGUGAUAAUUAUCUACGCCGUGGACGAGGAUCAGACUCGCUUCUAACCGUCCGCGAGGACAAUACCUUGACAAUUUGACCUCAAAUCAGGUAGGACUACCCGCUGAACUUAAGC